GCAAUCAAUGUUCAGUUGGUAGUGCAUGAGACUCUUAAUCCCAGGUCGUGGGUUCAAGCCCUACUUUGGGUA